UACGUAGGGUGCAAGCGUUUGUCCGGAAUUAUUGGGCGUAAAGAGCUCGUAGGCGGCUCGUCGCGUCGGCUGUGAAAACCUGGGGCUCAACCCCGGGCCUGCAGCCGAUACGGGCGAGCUAGAAUUCGGUAGGGGAGACUGGAAUUCCUGGUGUAGCGGUGAAAUGCGCAGAUAUCAGGAGGAACACCGGUGGCGAAGGCGGGUCUCUGGGCCGAUAUUGACGCUGAGGAGCGAAAGCGUGGGGAGCGAACAGG
rnacentral:rRNA from 1 species